UGAAGCGAUAUAGUCAAUGAUUUCCGAAUGGGGAAACUCAGUACUUUUAGUACUAUCGUUUAAUGAAUAUAUAGUUAAACGAAGCGAACCGAGGGAACUGAAACAUCUAAGUACCUCGAGGAAAAGAAAUCAAUUGAGAUUCCCAAAGUAGUGGCGAGCGAAAUGGGAACAGCCAGAGUUAUAUUUUUAUUAAUUUUUUUAUAUUAAGAGAAUGAAUUGGAAAAUUCUGCAAUAUAAGGUG
rnacentral:rRNA from 1 species